UUUAUUUCUGGUUCUUGCUUCCCAGGAGUUACGAGUCGAGCUCGACAAAUUGUUGAGACAAAAAAUAGCUCAGCCGGACAUGAAGCUAAGCGUGGGGACUGGUACGGAUAACAAGGAAAGUGCUCUACUGCGAGCCAUUAUUGACCUGAUCACCAGUGAAGAGAAUACAAACUGGAAAAGACAAAGAGCUCUCGCCAGUAAACCCGAAGAGAGUUACUAUUAAACUGCUUUGUGUCGUGAGACAAAAGAAGCACCAGAGGGCUACCAGAGGGAGUUUAUUCACUGCAUAGCUGCUUGCUUCCUCUCUGAAGCAGACACUAAGAUACGGUCUGUCGGACUUCAACCCUGAACUUGCGCUCAGACUAAGGCGGACACCUCUCUUGUGUGCCUUACACUGUCCAAGCUAGUACCAAAUAUAUAGCUUCACAAAGACUUUGGUUUGGUCCGUGCAGUAGUUUAACUGGAACAAUCCAGAGAGGAUGAUCUGCAAAGCUCUUGGCUCUCGCAAUUUGUUUUGUAAAUAAACAAGACGAACAGACGAUAACUGAUACUGGAGAGUCAACUUGAAUAUUGAUUUUCGAGAAAAAAGAUGUUUGUGAAAAGCCAAAGACUUAUAAGAAAAGUUUUAAACUAACAGGAAAUGUAAUAUUUGUUUGUAACAUUACGGAAAUAGUAAACACACUCGUGGAAAAGAUGAUACUGUUAGCGUCACCCCUGGUCAGUUCGAGUUCAUCAUUUAAUUAAGGGGGGAGUUUCACGGUUUGGCGCAUACCCACGCUUUCGCGUGAGAAUAAAGUAACUUCGCUUUUUUUUUUUUUUACUGAACCACAUGUACUUUAGCAGUCACAGUCAAAGCAGUCACGGGAUUGAGUACUUACAAAAGGAAUGCUAAUGAGAACUCUCACAUCUACCGCAGCGUUUUGGCGACUGACCUCGAAACUGUCAAAGAAAAAGCUCCCGCAAAAAUUGGUUGUUUAUUAAACAAUGAAAUCGUA